rnacentral:rRNA from 1 species
GAUGAACGCUGGCGGCGCGCCUAACACAUGCAAGUCGAACGAUUAAAGCACCUUCGGGUGUGUAUAAAGUGGCGAACGGCUGAGUAACACGUGGGCAACCUGCCCCUCUCAUUGGGAUAGCCACGGGAAACCGUGGGUAAUACCGAAUACUUCAGGUCUUCCGCCUGGAAGACCCGUGAAAGCCCCGGCGGUUAGGGAUGGGCCCGCGGCCUGUCAGCUUGUUGGUGCGGUAAUGGCCUACCAAGGCAAUGAUAGGUAGCUGGGUUGAGAGACCGACCAGCCAGAUUGGGACUGAGACACGCCCCAGACGGCUACGGGAGGCAGCAGUGGGGAGUCUGGCACAAUGGGCGAAAGCCUGAUGCAGCGACGCCGCGUGCGGGAUGAAGGCCUUCGGGUUGUAAACCGCUUUCAGCAGGGACGAGGCGAAAGUGACGGUACCUGCAGAAGAAGCCCCGGCUAACUACGUG